GCUCCCGCUUCUCCCACCACACUUCCCUGCAAGCUGAGAGAAGCGGCUCUGGCCUUGGGCAGCCCAGAAAGGGGCUCCCUCAGUGCAGCGGUGGGCUGAAGGGCUCCUCAAGUGCCGCCAAAGUGGGAGCCCAGGCAGAGGAGGCGCCCAGAGCGAGCGAGGGCUGUGAGGACUGCCAGCACGCUGUCACCUCUCAGAACUAUUUACUCAGAAUGAGUGAAGGCAAGUGAUUAAAUGUACCUUUUAAUUGAGUGUAAUCUGCUUGCUCUACAUAUUCAAAGUCUUAAAACAUACCAAAAAGUCUAUUUACCCCAUUCCUCUCAAUUUAUUUUGUAGUAGUGGCUUUAUCCUCUUUUACUGGCAGUAUGUUUGAAUACUGGCCUCCUUUAUCAGGUAAUUAAUUUGUAUGUAAGUUUGAGGAAAUUAAAAUGGCUGUGACUAUCUUGCUUCAUGAACUUGAUCCACUAGAGCAGAAACUAGCAUACAGAAACAAAAAGCAGCACAAAGAAAGUAGGUUAAGGGCAAGGGCCGAGGUGCAAGAAAUGACUUAGAAAAAAAGAGAGUACACUUCAGCCUGUGUUGAUUAUGGAGAUAUUAUCUAAAUGGGAUCAUGAAGAAGUCAUAAAUUCCACCAAGAGAUUUAAAUGCAUGUGUGUGAUAAGAGGAUUGGGAAAGGAGGUAGGAGAUUGUGAGGGUAUUUCUUGUCAGUGAAAUGCAUGGAAUUUAUGCCCCCAAGACAUAAAAAAAUCAGUCACUCAACAUGUAUUUAAUAAGUGACUACAAUAGAUAUCUAACUAGUUUUGUCAAGUUUAGACAAUCUGUAGGAAGACUUAAAAAUAUAUAAAAAUAGAUGUGAGUCUAGAUUUUAUGGAUCAUGACAUCGAGUGCAAGACAAAGUAAAUUUUAUUUUGUAGGGACUGGGGAGUUUUUGAAUUAGUCCGCAGUAGACAGCACUGUAUGAUCAUCUCAUGACAGUGCUAAAAGUAUGUAAGCAAGAGGCUAGUUAUGAGGGCAUUGCAGUUGCAAAUGCAGGACUAUUGUGUGAGGUCGUGAAAUGGCCAUAGGACUAAAGUAAAAAUGAAUUUGGGAAAAUGCAAAAAAAAUUAAUAAAACUUUAUUGCUGGGCCUGAAGAAUACAUUUGCUAUUCAUAGUUCAAGAUAGUUAUAUUAUUCUGUUGUAUCUACAGUCC
rnacentral:lncRNA from 1 species